rnacentral:rRNA from 1 species
AGCCUGAUGCAGCCAUGCCGCGUGUGUGAAGAAGGCCUUCGGGUUGUAAAGCACUUUCAGCGGGGAGGAAGGCGGUGAGGUUAAUAACCUCGUCGAUUGACGUUACCCGCAGAAGAAGCACCGGCUAACUCCGUGCCAGCAGCCGCGGUAAUACGGAGGGUGCAAGCGUUAAUCGGAAUUACUGGGCGUAAAGCGCACGCAAGCGGUCUGUCAAGUCGGAUGUGAAAUCCCCGGGCUCAACCUGGGAACUGCAUUCUAAACUGGCAGGCUAUAGUCUUGUAUAGGGGGGUAGAAUUCCAGGUGUAGCGGUGAAAUGCGUAGAGAUCUGGAGGAAUACCGGUGGCGAAGGCGGCCCCCUGGACGAAGACUGACGCUCAGGUGCGAAAGCCUGGGGAGCAAACAGGAUUAGAAACCGGGUAGUCC